GACGAACGCUGGCGGCGUGCCUAACACAUGCAAGUCGAGCGAUGCGAUCCUUCGGGAUCAAUUAGCGGCGGACGGUGAGUAACACGUGGGUAACCUGCCUCAAAGAGGGGAAUAGCCUCCCGAAAGGGAGAUUAAUACCGCAUAAUAUGUUUUGAUCGCAUGAUCUUAACAUCAAAGGAAUUUUUCGGAAUUUCACUUUGAGAUGGACCCCGCGGCGCAUUAGCUAGUUGGUGAGGUAAAGGCCCACCAAGGCAACGAUGCGUAGCCGACCUGAGAGGUGAUCGGCCACAUUGGAACUGAGACACGGUCCAGACACCUACGGGAGCUG
rnacentral:rRNA from 1 species